UACGGAGGGAGCUAGCGUUGUUCGGAAUUACUGGGCGUAAAGCGUGCGCAGGCGGUUCGUUGUGUCGGCGGUGAAAGCCCCGGGCUUAACCUGGGAAUGGCCGUUGAAACUGGCGAACUGGAGUGUGGCAGAGGGGGGUGGAAUUCCGCGUGUAGCAGUGAAAUGCGUAGAGAUGCGGAGGAACACCGAUGGCGAAGGCAGCCCCCUGGGCUAACACUGACGCUCAGGCACGAAAGCGUGGGGAGCAAACAGG
rnacentral:rRNA from 1 species